ACUCCUACGGGAGGCAGCAGUGGGGAAUAUUGCGCAAUGGGCGAAAGCCUGACGCAGCCAUGCCGCGUGUGUGAAGAAGGCCUUAGGGUUGUAAAGCACUUUCAAUUGGGAAGAAAAGUUUACGGUUAAUAGCGUGCAACUGUGACAUUACCUUUAGAAGAAGCACCGGCUAACUCCGUGCCAGCAGCCGCGGUAAUACGGAGGGUGCAAGCGUUAAUCGGAAUUACUGGGCGUAAAGCGCGCGUAGGCGGUUUGUUAAGUCGGAUGUGAAAGCCCUGGGCUCAACCUGGGAACUGCAUUCGAUACUGAUCGACUAGAGUACGAGAGAGGGAGGUAGAAUUCCACGUGUAGCGGUGAAAUGCGUAUAUAUGUGGAGGAAUACCGGUGGCGAAGGCGGCCUCCUGGCUCGAUACUGACGCUGAGGUGCGAAAGCGUGGGUAGCAAACAGGAUUAGAUACCCUGGUAGUCCACGCCGUAAACGAUGUCUACUAGCCGUUGGGAGACUUGAUUUCUUAGUGGCGCAGCUAACGCACUAAGUAGACCGCCUGGGGAGUACGGCCGCAAGGUUAAAACUCAAAUGAAUUGACGG
rnacentral:rRNA from 1 species